UACGGGGGGAGCAAGCGUUGUUCGGAUUCACUGGGCGUAAAGAGCGUGUAGGCGGCCAGACAGGUCCGUUGUGAAAACUCGAGGCUCAACCUCGAGAUGUCGAUGGAAACCGUCUGGCUAGAGUCCGGAAGAGGAGUGUGGAAUUCCUGGUGUAGCGGUGAAAUGCGCAGAUAUCAGGAAGAACACCUAUGGCGAAGGCAGCACUCUGGGACGGUACUGACGCUGAGACGCGAAAGCGUGGGGAGCGAACAGG
rnacentral:rRNA from 1 species